UGCUAAUGAAAUUCUUAGUGGCGGACGGGUUAGUAACACGUGAGAAUCCUACCCUUGAGUGGGGAAUAGCCUUUCGAAAGGAAGAUUAAUGCCCCAUAGUCUCUACGGAGUAAAGAUGCCUUCGGGUGUCGCUUAAGGAUGGGCUCGCGGCCUAUCAGCUAGUUGGUGAGGUAAGAGCUCACCAAGGCAACGACGGGUAGCUGGUCUGAGAGGACGAUCAGCAACCCUGGAACUGAGACACGGUCCAGACACCUACGGGUGGCAGCAGUCGAGAAUCAUUCACAAUGGACGAAAGUCUGAUGGUGCAACGCCGCGUGGAGGAUGACGGCCCUAGGGUUGUAAACUCCUGUCAUCAGGGAGUAAGACUUAUUCGUUAAUA
rnacentral:rRNA from 1 species